UGGCGCUGCUUGCAGCAGUGAUGGUUUAUCUCGGCUCGGGAGUUUGAAUAAGUUUUAAAUGUGUCCUGUGAAUUAUUUCGUUCAUCGUCAUUGUGUAAACUGUGUUAUAAUUACAGACACUGAGACAGGAGAAAAUGGAAUAACAUUUCACAGUUCGAUUCGUCGCUGCAGACAAGAUUAAGCUUCUCUUCAGGAGCGCAGUCAAGAUUAAUGUUAUUUGUGAUCUGUCUCAGUUACGCAAUACUUUGCCUUGGCUCGCUUGUGACGUCACGGUGAAUUCAUCUCGUCCUCCAGAAAAUUUGCGAGGGUAACACAUGGGAUCGUUUUUGCUUAAAACUCGUCCAUAUCCUCCAUUUUGAAGAAAGCUACGACAAAUUUUCUUGAAGGACAAGAGUAAAGGACAAAUAAUGCCAAUCUACGCGCCAUGAAUUUCGGUGGCAAGGAUCCAGGAUUUUAAACUUGGCAGACAGAAUCCAGGGUGGCGAUACGCUACCGAAGAAACGCAAUAGACUAGAGCAGAAUGAAGAAUUCUGUCAUCAAGGUCAAGCUGCACGGAUCUUACGGGCAUCCCGUGA